GACGUAGGGGGCUAGCGUUGUCCGGAUUUAUUGGGCGUAAAGAGCGUGUAGGCGGCCAGGUAGGUCUGCUGUGAAAACUCGAGGCUCAACCUCGAGACGUCGGCGGAAACCAUCUGGCUAGAGUCCGGAAGGGGAGAGUGGAAUUCCUGGUGUAGCGGUGAAAUGCGCAGAUAUCAGGAAGAACACCCGUGGCGAAGGCGGCUCUCUGGUACGUGACUGACGCUGAGACGCGAAAGCGUGGGGAGCGAACAGG
rnacentral:rRNA from 1 species